AGAUAGGUCUGUCUCCUAUACCAAGGUACAGGAAACACCCAGGCUGCAUCAUGCUGCUGAAGACAAACCUGGGCAUACAGAAGAUCUUCAGGUCUCCCAGCUCACAGAAGUGAGAAGAAAAGUGACUCAAUCCCAUGCCUUUUUAAUGUACAGGAAAAAGCAGUGUUUUCUCACUGCUGUGGGAAAUCUGGGGCAGAUUCUCUGAAGAGUCCCAGCUGUGGCUUUCUAGCAAGCAUCAAGCCUUGGGAAAGAGCUUUGUGGACAGAGACCAGCUUUCAACAUGCCCCAACUUCAGUGCUGCUCUCCAGACUGUGUUUGUGUUAAAGAAGUAUGCAAGCAUAUCAUAGAAAAAGAGUGGAGUUGACAUCUUUAAUCAUUUGAAAAAAUUUUAAUACCUUAUGAUUCAUGACAGCCUGCUUUUAGAGAGGAUUCUGGCCACAGAGAUCUCACUGAAGCUCGUGGUUGUGCUCUCCACCUUCCAGUCAAAUGAACUGAGGUAACAGCUGACUGUUCCCUUUUUUAGUGACUGAAAAAACAGAGACCUGAAGACUAGGCUAAUGAUGGUGAGCCCCUGGUGCGGAUGCUAACUCUGGCAUUGACAGAGGGAAGAAGAAUAUGGAACAUGUUCACAUUCACCAGAAAAACAUUGUUCUUCUCCCUCCUGCACCCUCCUUGCCGUGACCAAGGUGACCUUACUGCUACGUCAGGGAUAAUGCUGUCGGUGUCCUGUGAGGCAAGUGGGAGUCGAGGAAGAUCUGUUCUUCUGCUGCAGGCUGUCCCGUCAUGUGGCACGAGGCUUAAAGACAGGACAUAGCUCAAUAACCUUUUUCAGGUGUGUUUUUUCACGAAAUUCUUUUGCAGCAAAGUAAUAAAAGAUGGCAUCCAGGCAGCAGUUCAGGUUGGCUAAUAUCAUUGACACUUGAAUGAAGAGGCUGAUGGUUUGUUUCAGACUGCAAUCCACUAUCACGUGCUGCCUUACCAGGCACUGUAGGCAGAUCGCAAGGUGGACAGGUGUGAAGCACACCAAAAACACCACGAGGUUGAUGAUAAUGACUCGUAAGGAGCCACUGCCUUCUAAGUUCUUUUUAGCUUGACUUCUGUGCUUCAGAAGAAUCCAGAUGUUUUGGACAGAGCAGAAAACUAUCACUGCGAGUGGGAUCAGAAAUCCAAAAAUUUCCAGAGAAACAAUGAGGGGGACGCUCCACGCCUGUUCUGACAUGUUGUAAAAGCAUCUAAAAUCAUCUUUCUUGUGAAACACGUACAUUGGGCUGCUGCAAAGCCAAGCUACUGCCCAGAUGAAGGAGCAAAUCAAGAUGGCCCAUUUGGGGGAUUGAUUAGCUCGACCUUUAAAUGGGUGCUUUAUGCUGAUAUAUCUGUCGACAGUAAUGCAGACAAUGAUGAAGAUACUGCUGUACGUGUUGACGAAAUAGAGAGACUCUAUGAAUGAGCACAGGAGUCCAGAUGCUUCUGUGUUAGAGUAGUAGAGCUUGAGCGGGAGCGAGAGAAGCAGCAAGACAUCGGCAAGCGCGAGAUUUAUCAUGUAAACUGAGGUUUUGGUCUGUUUCUUCCAAACGCAGCAGAACACGCAGAGGGCCAGACUGUUGAGAACCAGCCCGAGAAUGAAGGUGGGGAUGGAGAUCCCCAUCUGCAGGGUCUUUGCUAAUUUGUCGAUGUCUCUAAAAUUACAUUCCCUGCUGCUGUUGGUCAUUUCUCCCUUAAAACAACAGAACAGGUUGGAAAUGUGUAAGAGUCAGAGUUAAUGCCCUGAUAUAUCAGAACAAAGUACUUUCAAACACAACUCUGGGCUUUUUUGGUUUUGAGCAAUACAGUCAAUCAGUCUUUGGCUGUUACUGAAAGCGAAUCCUCAUUUCAAGCACAGAGCUUUCUAUUUCCAAUUUGAGUGGCUUGAUCUGUUAAAAAGGAGCUUGAUUCUCAAUGGCAGUCAGCAUCCACUGACUACCAUAUCCUUUAAGAUAAUCCCAUUCAGAUAUUGAAGAGACUGACCCAUUCAAACAUGUUUUCAAAAAAUCUCAAGUGUACUGGCUAACCUGUACAUCUAUUAAAACUUCCAUAACACUUAUGUUGAGUUCCUUUGCUACACAGAAAUUUAUGAAAUUAUUGUUCCAUAUUAAGGCAGGUCAAACUGAUAGCUGAGAUUUUACUCUUAUAUCCAUGAUUCCCUAUGCAUCAGUAGCUUUUGCCAAUGUGCUUUUACUACACCCGCAUUUAUAUGGAUAUUUUCAUUUCAUAUAGUGCUUGUAUCCGAUGCAGUUUUUUUAGAAGGUCAGCUUAAGAUGCC